rnacentral:rRNA from 1 species
UACAGAGGAGCCAAGCGUUGUCCGGAUUGACUGGGCGUAAAGCGCACGCAGGCGGACGCGCGCGUGGGGUGUGAAAUCUGGCCGCUUAACGGCCAGGCGCCAUCCCAUACGGCGCGUCUGGAGCAAUGCAGAGGUCGGUGGAAUUGCCGGUGUAGUGGUGAAAUGCGUAGAGAUCGGCAGGAACACCCAGGGGGAAACCAGCCGACUGGGCAUUUGCUGACGCUGAGGUGCGAGAGCGUGGGGAGCGAACAGG